GAUGAAGAACGCAGCGAAAUGCGAUAAGUAAUGUGAAUUGCAGAAUUCAGUGAAUCAUCGAUUCUUUGAACGCACAUUGCGCCCGCCAGUAUUCUGGCGGGCAUGCCUGUUCGAGCGUCAUUACAACCCUCAGGCCCCCGGGCCUGGCGUUGGGGAUCGGCGGAAGCCCCCUGUGGGCACACGCCGUCCCUCAAAUACAGUGGCGGUCCCGCCGCAGCUUCCAUUGCGUAGUAGCUAACACCUCGCAACUGGAGAGCGGCGCGGCCAUGCCGUAAAACACCCAACUUCUGAAUGUUGACCUCGAAUCAGGUAGGAAUACCCGCUGAACUUAAGCAUAUCAAUAAGCGGAGGA
rnacentral:misc_RNA from 1 species